CUAUCCUUAACAGAUUCAAAGAUGGACUGGCGAGUCUUCAGUUUUUUGCUGCACUGCAGCAGCAUUCCAGUGUUCUGGUCCCAGUCUUAUGCUUCUCCGCCAAAGCCCUGACUGCUUCAGAUGUGGAGAACAUGUUCAAACCAGAGCUCAGCCCAGAAGGAAACAACAGUCGGGAGAAGGAGGGCAAAACACUUGGCUUUUGGGCAGAUUAUCUCCUUGAUUCUUAAGAGAAAGUGAUGGCUGUGUCCCUGGAAGAUCUGAUGUUUGCCACAGGCCUGGCAGCACUUCCACCAGCAGGCAUGACUCCACCUCCACACGUUCAGUUUUUAAGUGAUUCGCCGUUUCCAGUUGCAAACACCUGUGCAAAUACAUUGAAGCUUCCUCUCUUGGGAUCCUACAGUGUCUUUAAGGAAAAUAUGGACUUUGGAAUACAAAAUGCUCCAGGAUUUGGAUGUUUUUAAAUGUUUAUGGCUACAAGUGUCAGCUCAACUGCUGUUGACACUUCUUUUGCGAAGCUACCUUUGUAACACAUUUGUAAUAAGCAAAUUAACAGUUUUGUUACACAUUUAGCAAUUUCUUGGUUCUGAGCUUGUGUGUACAAUAAACAAAUGUUAACACAAA